GUAUUUUGCAUUAACAUUUCUGUGUAAUCCAUGGGAAAAAUAUAUCAACAAGUUCUGUAAUUGAUACUGAAUUUGCAGAUUCGACUAUAGGUGCUGUUUACGUCAGUAACUUACAUAGUAAUCUUGACCAGGAUUCAUAUGGUAAAGCAAUGGAUUAUAAAUAGUUAAUAAGAAUCUUGGUAGUUUACUCACAGCAAAGACGCCAAACUACGAGGGAAACAGAACAACGAUUACACGUAAAGAAGAGAAAUGAUCAAUUUGAAAAUCAGACGAAGAUGAAAUUCAGGUUCAUACAUUCUUAUUAAGUAGGUUGCUUUGUGGAUGAUAAGCAAUUUGAAUGCUUUUGAUAAUAAACAUAUAUAUAUAUAAUGCACAGAGCUGUGUAGUACACAUAAACUUAUCAUGUUCUUGAUAACGGUCAUGAUGGAAAAAAUUACAAGCGGUAAAAAGUGAAUCUUUCACGCCAACUCCAAUGAGUGUUUCGUUAUACUUUGGGAUUUUUAUUUCGUUCCGUAAUAAAAAGACUAAAACGUAUGGAAAAUAAGACCUAAUCUGGAAGAUGAAACAAGUUCGUAGACACACUCCUAUGAAAUGUCAUAUAAAUGAAAAUGAGACAGAACAUGAGACGUUUUGGUGAGUGCAUUAAGGUCCUUGGCAGACGAGCGUGUCUAGCUCAAUUCUAAUAUUAUCCUUGCGUUGAAGUGAGACCAAAACUUUACUUCAGGUCCAGGCGGUUUCUUUCUUUCUGACAAAUGGUCGCCGGCUUUACUCUGGAAUUUAACAGUGCAUUUCAUAGUGAACUAUUCGUGUUCGUUUGUGAUUUGACCAUGCCGUAAUUUAGAUAUUCGAGUAAGGAGUCGGGAUUGCUGCGUGGUGUCGCCGCAUAUAACGGAGGUUGGUGGAAGAUGUGUAACACCCCAUUGCAUGUAGAAGUACUUUUCUCAACCACCCAUCAUUACAUGGCUCCCAAGGCUCUCGAGGAUAUUUUUCACUAGCCAGUGGCACUUGCUUGGAAAAGUUACCGGGUUGCAUAAAAUCGGUGAAAGUCAUACAGAGUGGUGGACGUGUUUGAGCUGUCAGGACAUCGCAGGAAUGCGCUGAAUGCAUAAAAGCCGAUUGCAGAUGCAAGAGCAGGAAUUCAACAUUUUCAGUGGAUGUUCUACAUGAGAUUAGAUUAGCUUUGAUUUGUUAAAAAAUUUGUUAAUGUGAAUUAUCCUUUUGUAUGAUUACGGAAUAAGGCAAUACUCUUUGAAUUAAAGCUUUUGAAUUAAAGCUUCGCCUUUUAGCUUCACCUUUAUUAAUGUUCAUCAGUUCAUCCAGGUGGUUCAGACGUUUUAAAGACUAUAAGUUACACAAGCCUUUGUUCAGAGAUAUCUUAUAUUAUAAAUGUUCAAAUCCCAGGACUUUGUCAAUAUAUUGCAAAUACCAAGUGAGGAUAGAACAAAAGAUAAUUGAAGACCUAAGGCAAACUGAACAGUCUUGAAGAUAGCUAAAAUCAGCCUGCAAAUUUGUUGUUUACAGCAAUGUUCUCGGCCGAGAAAAAUUAAUUUCCAAAUCUGGUUUCAUAACUAGUAUUUU